AGUUCCCUCUACGGAGUAACGCCGCUGAUCGCUUCCCCCGCUUGAUACCCUGGGCUACCCCCGGCCAUGGCGAACGUCGCGGACCUCGAAAUGGAAGAAAGAGGUGGCGGAAUUUCGGAAGAUGCGCUCGUGCUUCUUCACCUCGCUCGAUUUCUUCGCGGUGAUCCGUCAAGAAAAAGAGAAAGAGAGUGAUUAAGUAAGAAAGAGAAGAAAAGGAAGGAGGAAUACACCACGUGGAGAGCGCACGUGGCCGCGUUAUUCAGACUGCACUUCAACGUAGUGCAAUAGAUAGCAAUGCAGUUUUCUCGCGGAGAAAUUGGACCUCUUCCAGUCCUGGUUAAUGACAGGAAGAAUUGCGCGGAGGACGAUGAUUCUUCGGCCGAUGUACGCGAUGGUCCAGAUGACGUCGAUGUUGGCCGCGGAUCCGAUGUUCUAACAGCGCGCACUUCUAUAGUCAGAAAUCGUAGGUAUGCGCAAUGGAGACGAUGACGAGAAGAGACGAGGGGCAGUUCUCGAAACACGCGUGCACGCACACGCACACGGCGGAGACCCGAAGUGCGAGAAGUGCGAGCAGGAGAGACCGAAUCUAAGAUUAUUUCGGGAUCGACGGAGAUAAACCGGGCCAACGUCGAGAUGGAAGAGCGGACACGAACGAAACGGGCCUCGCCUCGCUUCACCGACAUGAGCCUUGAAGCUUGAGUCAUCAUCAACCUCCCGUCAUCGACAUCGUCGAGACAAUUACGAAUUUGAUAUUAUACAAGUGAUAACGAGCGUAUCCAGAUUUCUGGAUAGUCUUAUUUUUUUUAUAUAGUACAUUGUUUAUUUAAAUCAUACUUAUUUUAUACAUAAUUUAUAUGUAAUCAUACUGUAUAUAUCGAAUUAUGUUUGUAAUUAUAUUUGCA